rnacentral:rRNA from 1 species
UUCCGGUUGAUCCUGCCGGACCUGACUGCUAUCGGAUUGAUACUAAGCCAUGCUAGUCUUUGUAGUAAUACAAGGCAUACGGCUCAGUAACGCGUAGUCAACCUACCCUAUGGACGGGGAUAAUCUCGGGAAACUGAGCAUAAUACCCGACAGACCACUUCUCCUGGAAUGGUUAGUGGUUAAAAUGAUUCGUCGCCAUAGGAUGGGACUGCGGCCUAUCAGCUUGUUGGUGAGGUAAUGGCCCACCAAGGCGAUUACAGGUACGGGCUCUGAGAGGAGAGGCCCGGAGAUGGGUACUGAGACAAGGACCCAGGCCCUAUGGGGCGCAGCAGGCGAGAAAACUUUGCAAUGUGCGAAAGCACGACAAGGUUAAUCCGAGUGAUUUCUGCUAAAGGAAUCUUUUGUUAGUUCUAAAAAUACUAGUGAAUAAGGGGUGGGCAAGUUCUGGUGUCAGCCGCCGCGGUAAAACCAGCACCUCAAGUGGUCAGGAGGAUUAUUGGGCCUAAAGCAUCCGUAGCCUGUUCUAUAAGUUUGCGGUUAAAUCUAUACGCUCAACGUAUAGGCUGCCGUAAAUACUGUAGAACUAGGGAGUGGGAGAGGUAGACGGUACUCGAUAGGAAGGGGUAAAAUCCUUUGAUCUAUUGAUGACCACCUGUGGCGAAGGCGGUCUACCAGAACACGUUCGACGGUGAGGGAUGAAAGCUGGGGGAGCAAACCGGAUUAGAUACCCGGGUAGUCCCAGCUGUAAACGAUGCAGACUCGAUGAUGCAUUGGCAUAUAGCCAGUGCAGUGUCGCAGGGAAGCCGUUAAGUCUGCCGCCUGGGAAGUACGUACGCAAGUAUGAAACUUAAAGGAAUUGGCGGGGGAGCACCACAAGGGGUGAAGCCUGCGGUUCAAUUGGAGUCAACGCCGGG